AGGACGAACGCUGGCGGCGUGCCUAAUACAUGCAAGUCGAACGCUUCUUUUUCCACCGGAGCUUGCUCCACCGGAAAAAGAGGAGUGGCGAACGGGUGAGUAACACGUGGGUAACCUGCCCAUCAGAAGGGGAUAACACUUGGAAACAGGUGCUAAUACCGUAUAACAAUCRAAACCGCAUGGUUUUGAUUUGAAAGGCGCUUUCGGGUGUCGCUGAUGGAUGGACCCGCGGUGCAUUAGCUAGUUGGUGAGGUAACGGCUCACCAAGGCCACGAUGCAUAGCCGACCUGAGAGGGUGAUCGGCCACAUUGGGACUGAGACACGGCCCAAACUCCUACGGGAGGCAGCAGUAGGGAAUCUUCGGCAAUGGACGAAAGUCUGACCGAGCAACGCCGCGUGAGUGAAGAAGGUUUUCGGAUCGUAAAACUCUGUUGUUAGAGAAGAACAAGGAUGAGAGUAACUGUUCAUCCCUUGACGGUAUCUAACCAGAAAGCCACGGCUAACUACGUGCCAGCAGCCGCGGUAAUACGUAGGUGGCAAGCGUUGUCCGGAUUUAUUGGGCGUAAAGCGAGCGCAGGCGGUUUCUUAAGUCUGAUGUGAAAGCCCCCGGCUCAACCGGGGAGGGUCAUUGGAAACUGGGAGACUUGAGUGCAGAAGAGGAGAGUGGAAUUCCAUGUGUAGCGGUGAAAUGCGUAGAUAUAUGGAGGAACACCAGUGGCGAAGGCGGCUCUCUGGUCUGUAACUGACGCUGAGGCUCGAAAGCGUGGGGAGCAAACAGGAUUA
rnacentral:rRNA from 1 species